rnacentral:rRNA from 1 species
GCAAAACGCGAAGAACCUUACCUACUCUUGACAUCCACGGAACUUUUCAGAGAUGAAUUGGUGCCUUCGGGAACCGUGAGACAGGUGCUGCAUGGCUGUCGUCAGCUCGUGUUGUGAAAUGUUGGGUUAAGUCCCGCAACGAGCGCAACCCUUAUCCUUUGUUGCCAGCGGUUAGGCCGGGAACUCAAAGGAGACUGCCAGUGAUAAACUGGAGGAAGGUGGGGAUGACGUCAAGUCAUCAUGGCCCUUACGAGUAGGGCUACACACGUGCUACAAUGGCGCAUACAAAGAGAAGCGACCUCGCGAGAGCAAGCGGACCUCAUAAAGUGCGUCGUAGUCCGGAUUGGAGUCUGCAACUCGACUCCAUGACGUCGGAAUCGCUAGUAAUCGUAGAUCAGAAUGCUACGGUGAAUACGUUCCCGGGUCUUGUACACACCG